rnacentral:rRNA from 1 species
CAGUCGCCGCGGUAAUACGUAGGGUGCGAGCGUUAAUCGGAAUUACUGGGCGUAAAGCGUGCGCAGGCGGUUGUGUAAGACAGGUGUGAAAUCCCCGGGCUUAACCUGGGAACUGCGCUUGUGACUGCACAGCUAGAGUAUGGCAGAGGGGGGUGGAAUUCCACGUGUAGCAGUGAAAUGCGUAGAGAUGUGGAGGAACACCGAUGGCGAAGGCAGCCCCCUGGGCCAAUACUGACGCUCAUGCACGAAAGCGUGGGGAGCAAACAGGAUUAGAUACCCUGUAGUCCCUGUCUCUUAUACA